rnacentral:rRNA from 1 species
CCUACGGGAGGCAGCAGUGGGGAAUUUUGGACAAUGGGCGCAAGCCUGAUCCAGCAAUGCCGCGUGAGUGAAGAAGGCCUUCGGGUUGUAAAGCUCUUUUGUCAGGGAAGAAACGGUGGAGGCUAAUAUCCUUUGCUAAUGACGGUACCUGAAGAAUAAGCACCGGCUAACUACGUGCCAGCAGCCGCGGUAAUACGUAGGGUGCAAGCGUUAAUCGGAAUUACUGGGCGUAAAGCGUGCGCAGGCGGUUUUGUAAGUUUGUCGUGAAAUCCCCGGGCUCAACCUGGGAAUGGCGAUGAAGACUGCAAGGCUAGAAUCUGGCAGAGGGGGGUAGAAUUCCACGUGUAGCAGUGAAAUGCGUAGAGAUGUGGAGGAACACCGAUGGCGAAGGCAGCCCCCUGGGUCAAGAUUGACGCUCAUGCACGAAAGCGUGGGGAGCAAACAGGAUUAGAUACCCUGGUAGUCCACGCCCUAAACGAUGUCUACUAGUUGUUACGGGUUUUAAAUUAACUUGGUAACGCAGCUACGACGUGAGUAGACCGCCGCGGGAGGUACGGUCGCGAGAAUAAACUAACAAUAGAGUAGACGGCGUGAGAGUGCCGACGGACGACGACGACGGGAGGAGG